rnacentral:rRNA from 1 species
CCUACGGGUGGCAGCAGUGAGGAAUCUUGGUCAAUGGGCGCAAGCCUGAACCAGCCAAGUCGCGUGAAGGAAGACGGUCCUAUGGCUUGUAAACCUCUUUUAUCGGGGAGCAAAAGACACCACUCGUUGCUUUCCGCGAGUACCCGAUGCAAAAGCAUCGGCUAACUCCGUGCCAGCAGCCGCGGUAAUACGGAGGAUGCGAGCGUUAUCCUGAUUUAUUGGGUUAAAAGGGUGCGCAGGCGGAAGAUAAAGUCAGCGGUAAAAUUGAGAGGCUGAACCUCUUCGAGCCGUUGACACUGGUGUUCUUGAGUAAGCGAGAAGUAUGCGGAAUGCGUAGUGUAGCGGUGAAAUGCAUAGAUAUCACGCAGAACUCCGAUUGCGAAGGCAGCAUACCGGCGCUCAACUGACGCUCAUGCACGAAAGCGUGGGGAGCAAACAGGAUUAGAUACCCCUGUAGUC